rnacentral:rRNA from 1 species
GAUGAACGCUGGCGGCGUGCCUAAUACAUGCAAGUCGAGCGAACGGACGAGAAGUUUGCGUCUCUGAUGUUAGCGGCGGACGGGUGAGUAACACGUGGAUAACCUACCUAUAAGACUGGGAUAACUUCGGGAAACCGGAGCUAAUACCGGAUAAUAUUUUGAACCGCAUGGUUCAAAAGUGAAAGACGGUCUUGCUGUCACUUAUAGAUGGAUCCGCGCUGCAUUAGCAAGUUGGUAAGGUAACGGCUUACCAAGGCAACGAUGCAUAGCCGACCUGAGAGGGGGAUCGGCUACACUGGAACUGAGAAACGGCCGAGACUCCUACGGGAGGCAGCAGUAGGGAAUCUUACGUAAUGGGGGAAAGCCUGACGGAACAAAGCCGCGUGAAUGAUGAAGGACUCCGGAUCGUAAAACUCUGUUAUUAGGGAAGAAGAUAUGUGUAAGUAACUGUGCACAUAUUGACGGUACCUAAACAAAAAGCCCCGGCUAACUACGUG